rnacentral:rRNA from 1 species
GAUGAACGCUAGCGGCAGGCUUAACACAUGCAAGUCGAGGGGUAGAAGUUGCUUGCAACUUUGAGACCGGCGCACGGGUGCGUAACGCGUAUGCAAUCUACCUUAUACAGAGGGAUAGCCCAGAGAAAUUUGGAUUAAUACCUCAUAGUAUAAUUGGAUGGCAUCAUUUAAUUAUUAAAGUUCCAACGGUAUAAGAUGAGCAUGCGUCCUAUUAGCUAGAUGGUAAGGUAACGGCUUACCAUAGCAACGAUGGGUAGGGGUCCUGAGAGGGAGAUCCCCCACACUGGUACUGAGACACGGACCAGACUCCUACGGGAGGCAGCAGUGAGGAAUAUUGGACAAUGGGCGCAAGCCUGAUCCAGCCAUGCCGCGUGCAGGAAGAAGCAUCUAUGGUGUGUAAACUGCUUUUGUACGGGAAGAAACACCCCUUCGUGAAGGGACUUGACGGUACCGUAAGAAUAAGGAUCGGCUAACUCCGUGCCAGCCGCCGCCGUAAAAC